ACAGCAGUCGCCACGGGAAUACGUAGGUGGCAAGCGUUGUCCGGAAUUAUUGGGCGUAAAGGGCCCGCAGGCGGUUUCUUAAGUCUGAUGUGAAAGCCCCCGGCUCAACCGGGGAGGGUCAUUGGAAACUGGGAAACUUGAGUGCAGAAGAGGAGAGUGGAAUUCCACGUGUAGCGGUGAAAUGCGUAGAGAUGUGGAGGAACACCAGUGGCGAAGGCGACUCUCUGGUCUGUAACUGACGCUGAGGAGCGAAAGCGUGGGGAGCGAACAGGAUUAGAUACCCGUGUAGUCCCUGUCUCUUAUAU
rnacentral:rRNA from 1 species